rnacentral:snoRNA from 1 species
AUGCUUCUCCGGCUCAUAAGCAUGAUGAUUGGACAUUCACAUAUUUGUGUGACGUGUACCUCCCUUAAAUCUUGUUAAGAUGCUUGGCAUAUUACCCGUCUGAUG